GCCCUUCCCUGCCUGGCAGCCAAGGCAGAGAUAGACAGGGAGAGAGAGAGACAGCUUACGCCAUUAUUUCUGCGUAUCAGAGACUUUUAGUACUUUCACUAAUUUUGCUACUGUUAUCUAAAAGGCAGAGCCAGGUGUACAGGAUGGAACAUGAAGGCAGACUAGGAGCGUGACCACUGAAGCACAGCACCACAGGGAGACGGUUAGGCCUCCGGAUAACUAAUGAUUAAUGAUAUUCAUAUAUAAUCAUGUCUGUGAUCUAGAUCUAGUAUAACUCUUGUUGUUUUAUAUAUUUUAUUAUACUGGAACAGCUCGUGCCCUCGGUCUCUUGCCUCAGCACCUGGAUGGCUUGCCGCCCACAGCCAACAAUGUGUUUUCAAUAUGCUCCCCAAACUACAGCAAACUCCUCUUAACUCGGGAUUUAGGGUGAUGCCCUACUUAUGCCUAACUUUAUCACCAGCUUAACCCUCAUCUCAUUAUAUAGGAUGAUAUUACUUCUAGGAAGAUUUUCUAUGUAUGGAGGGUGCAUCAUUUAAGAGUAUUUUAGGCCAGGCACUGUGGCUCAUGCCUGUAAUCCCAGCAUUUUGGGAAGCUGAGGUGGGUGAUUUGCUUCAGCCCACGAGUUCAAGAUCAGCCUGGCCAAUAUGGUGAAACCCCAUCUCUACAAAAAAAUACAAAAAUUAGCUGAGCGUGGUGAUGUGUGCCUGUGGUCCCAGUUACUCUGGAGGCUGAUGUGGGAGGAUCACUUGAGCCCAGGAGGUCAAGGCUGCAGUGAGCUGUGAUUGCACCACUUCACUCCAGCCCAGAGUGAGACCCCAUCUCUGAAAAAAACACAAAAAACAAGAAAAGAAUACUGCAAAGAACCUUGGUAGGGGUGAAUUGGAAAAAGUAGAGAAAUGUAAUAUUUCUUUCCUGCUGUACUCACUGUAACUGUGAGAGGAUCGGCUCUUUUAACCAACAGAUAAGAAAGGAAAUAUUAGCUAUGAAGAAAUGUCUAUCAAGUUGAUUUUGACAACCUAGACACAUUAAUCUCCUUGCACUUUUAGUGACAGGAACCCAUUAGAACCUUAAGCAGCUGUCUGAAGUAAAAACAAAGCUCUCAGGUGAUGAACCACCUAAUCUCCCUGGGUAUUCGGAUGUGGGUCAGUCACAGGAGUAUUAGGUGUAAAGCCGCUGCUUCUGGGUAGAGCCUCCACUUGUGGCUGCACAGAGGGCACAGAGAGCUUUUCCUUCAGCCCGGAGAAGCUUCCUAAGUGUGGGCGCCACCUUGUGGGACAUACAUUGAACUACGACGCUAUUUCUCCAAGAAUUAACAGGACAGCCCCUCCCACCGGUGUCCUUCCAACGAUGUUGCAUACAAUUUGGCUGUACAUUUGGCAGGCAGUGUAAUGAGGGAAUCAAAGACCAGGAUCACAUACUGGAAAGAAUUGAAAACAGAGACUCCCAACAAAAACUUGUACACGGACGUUCACAGCAGCACUAUUCACGACAGCUCAGAGAUGGAAUCAACCCAAAUAUCAGUCAAUAGAUGAAUGGACAGACAAAAUGUGACAUAUCCAUGCAGUGGAAUAUUAUUUAGCCAUAAAAAGGAAGGAAGUGCUGAUGCAUGUUGCGAUGUGGAUGAACCUUGAAAACAUGAUGCUGAGUGAAAGAAGCCAGACACAAAAGGAGAAGGACUGUAUGAUUUCACUUAUAGGAAAUAUCCAGAACAGGCAAAUCUAUAUAGAGAGAAGGUCGAUUGCUGGGGGCCCUGGGAAGGGACCAAGGGGGAGUGACUUCUAAUGGUGGGGUGCCCUUUUGGGGUGAUGAAAAUGUUUUGGAACCAGAUACAGGUGGUGGUUGUACAACAUUGUGAAUUUACUAAAUGCAACCAAAUUGCUCACUUAAAAACAACAAAUUCAGGCCAGGUGCAGUGGCUCACACCCGUAAUCCCAGCACUUUGGGAGGCCGAGGUGGGCGGAUCACAUGAGGUCAAGAGUUCGAGACUAGCCUGGCCAACAUGGUGAAAUCCCAUCUCGGCCGGGCGCGGUGGCUCACGCCUGUAAUCCCAGCACUUUGGGAGGCUGAGGCGGGUGGAUCAAAACCCCAUCUCUACCCAAAAUACAAAAAUU
rnacentral:lncRNA from 10 species